rnacentral:rRNA from 1 species
UACGUAGGGGGCCAGCGCUGUCCGGAUUUAUUGGGCGUAAAGAGCGUGUAGGCGGCCAGGUAGGUCCGUUGUGAAAACUCGAGGCUCAACCUCGAGCUGUCGAUGGAAACCAUCUGGCUAGAGUCCGGAAGAGGAGAGUGGAAUUCCGGGUGUAGCGGUGGAAUGCGCAGAUAUCGGGAAGAACACCCGUGGCGAAGGCGGCUCUCUGGAACGCAACUGACGCUGAGACGCGAAAGCGUGGGGAGCAAACAGG